rfam:Oryza rufipogon genomic scaffold, chr02
GAUAUCAACUGAAAAAGUCAUCAACAACAAAGUUGAAUAACUCAUCAAGAUCUAAAACUUUUAUUUUGGUCAUUUCUUCAUACGACAAAGCAAUAGUAACAUUGUUUACAAAAUUGACAUAUCUCUUAUCUGGUUUUAUAAACUAUAACACGUAUAUGUAAAAAUUGUGAAUAAUAUUACUAACAUUUCGUCAGAUGAAGAAAUAACAAAAAUAAAAGUUUUAGAUCUUGAUGAGUUAUUCAACUUUGUUGUUGAUGACUUUUUCAAUUGAAAUC